GGGGGGCUUGGGGAGGGAGGGGGGAAUCUGUAUUCUACGCCCGCCCUCUCUCCAGUGAGGGAAUCAUCCUCUGAGUAGGCCAGGAAUUGAAUGGCAAACCAAUAUUUAGAGACAGAGAAGAUGACUUUCUUCUUUGUUUUCUAAAAGAGCAUUUAUUUUCAGGUAACUCAGCCAAUUCAGGAAUAUCAAACCGUUUUUGUUAUCUCCUUGGUCAGUUUUUACAGACAUCACUCAUGCACUUUUUUUUUUUAAAGAUAGUUAAACUGCAUUUGGUCACAAUCCAUAACUACCUCAGAGUGUGUAUCCAGCAUCUGAGACAUUAAGAACAGAAAAGCAAGACACACACACAACCUGUACUGUAUUAUCAUCUUACACAUCUCCUCGUGGACCUCAGAGUCCCUCUCGUCAAAUGAUGGUCUAGGCUCUCUCUCUAAACUAAGCUUAAAGUUUUAAAAAAACAGCCAGUGUUUGGAAUGUAGGCACAAGAGUGGCCAUGCACCCCAUAGAACUGUUCCGUCAUUCCAACCAACCUGUGCCUCAAGUGCCUGCCUCUCAUCCUCAUCCUACACAUUGCUGUUGCAUCUGCUUUCACAACCUCCCCCGGCACCUACUACUCUCUGUAUAGAACAAAAACGCCCCCGACAUCUCCUUUAAUUUUCCCACCUCUUGCCUUAAAUCUAGUAAGUAACAUUUUUAGAGUAGAAACAAGGAACUGUAAAUGCUGGUUUAUACCAAAGAUAGACACAAUAUUCUGCCGUAACUCAACAGGUCAGGCAGCAUCUCAAGAGAAAAUGGAUGGUGACGUUUCUCAUUGGGAAACAUCACCCAUCCCUUUUCUCCAAAGAGGCUGCCUGACCCGCUGAGUUACUCCAGCACUUUGUGCCUAUCUUAAGUAACAUUUUUAGCCUGGAUAAAAAUAUGAUCUACCCAAUUUAUGUUUAACCCCCCUCCCCUCCUGCUAGCCUCUGCCCCUCACUCAUCAAGUCACUCCUCAGGCUAAUCACUUGAUCGCUUUUGCCCUCUUCCUUCACACAAGAACAGCAUUCCGGUUUCUCCCCAACCUUCCGAAUGUCAGUGGAGCUCUAGCUAUGAGCUUCAGAGGUUAAUUCAUGGCCAGAAUCAGUCAAAAACACCUCAGGAUCAACCAAACUCACCUCCAGUCUCAGCUGUUACAUUGUAAAUCAGAUAUCAGGAAACGCACAGUUGUUAACUGAUCCUCACUCACAUGUACCUACCUCAAGAUUACAACGGCAGACCGUGGCAUUUUACAAUGGGUGCCACGUCUAUAACCUCGUUGACCUUAAGGGGUCCCUAGAUUGUAUUUUGGGACGUGGAGAUGAAUGUGGGUCUCAACCCCCAAGGUAUUCACAAGCAGUGCUUUGACUGUUCAUUGGUACCAUAAUGGCACAUUGUUCUUCAGCUGCCAUCUUCCAUUGACCUUGUUGGGUCCGAUUGUUGGACAAGGGUCCAGAAGGGAUGCUGUCCUAAGAUGCCCAUCUACACUGGUCCCAUCUGCCCAUGUUCGGCCAAUAUCCCUGGAAGCCUUUCCUAUCCAUGUACCUGUCCAAAUGUCUUUUUGGUGUUGUUAUAGUAUCUGCCUCAGCUACCUCCUCUGGCAACUCAGUCCAUAUACCCACCAUAUACCCACCUUGCUGUGAAGGGGAGCUGCCCUAAUCCACCCACCCCACUCAUGAAUAGAAAGUCCUUCUUGGCUAAAAUAUCCUUGUGCCAAGGUAGUGGGGGAAGCGGCUGCAAGGAUAUGUUGGCCAAGAAGGAUUUUCAAAUAACAGUCUAGAAACCAAACAAAGCGUGAAGAUAUUGAAGGGUGAAAAUAUUUGAGGAUUUUUUUCAGGGUCAGUUAGAUUUAGGUUUAGAUUUAUUAUUUUCGCAGGUACCGAGGUACAGUAAAAUGCUUUGUUUUGCGUGCUAUCCAAACAGAUGAUACAAUCAGUUUAAACUCAACUACAAUAUAUAGAGUAAAGGGGAAGAUACAGAGUCUAGAAUAUAGUUCUUAGUUUUGUAGCACAUUGCAGUGCAUCAGUUCGUUAGACAAGGUCCAAUAUCCUCAAUCGGUUAGAGGUGAAUUGAACAGUACCCUAGCUACCUUAAUUACUUAUUUUGUGGAAUUAAUGUUGUUUCAUGCCAGGCUAAAUGAGAGAGUUAGAUAGAUUUAAUGUCAGGAAUGCUAAGUGCUUUAUUGACAAACAGUUGGUCAACUGAACCUCUGACUAUUGGGCAUUAGAGACCACUGUAGCAUCCAGUUAAUUAACGGCAAGAGGGCCCUGCAGAGUGACUGUUUCCCACUUGCCGAUCUCAAACCCAGAACACCAACUUGGGAUGCGUUUGCAUGUUUAGACCUUGGUUUAGGUUUAUUAUUGUCACGUGUACCGAGGUACAGUGGAAAGCCUUGUUUUGCAUGCUAUCCAGUCAAAUCGCAUAUUACUAUAUAUAAAUACAAUCAAGUCAAACUCAGGUACUAUACUUUACUAUAUACAAAUAGAAUCAAUAUCAACAAUAUAUAUAGUGUAUAUACAUAUAUAUAUAUAUCGUUAUCGUGUAUACAUAUAUCAGGUAUGCAUAUGUGUAUAUCAAGUAUAUACAUAUAUAUAUAUGUGUGUUUGCAUGUGUAUAGAUAUAUAUAUAUAUAUAUACAUUUCUAUAUAGCAAGUGCUCUAAAAUACUAUAUAUAAAUACAAUUAAGCCAAACUCAGUGCAAUAAGUAGAGCAAAGGGGAAGAUACAGAGUGCAGGAUAUAGUUCUCAGCAUUGUAGCGCAUCAGUUCCACAGACUGAUCAUUGGAACAAUUAGAUAUGGUGCAAGAUUUACAGAUGGAAAAAAGGUUUACAAGUGUAGAGCGAUUGUAUCAGAUGAUAGUAGAUCCUCCUCUAGGACCAGCAGGCAAAGAGUCGCCACACACUAGCAUCAUCGUCUCUUUCCAGCAGAUGGAUAAUUACUCCAGAUUCAGGGACAGUUUCUUCUCAGCGGUCAUCAGGCAACUGAACCAUCCUAUCACCGGCUAGAGUGCAGUCCUGGACCUACCAUCUACCUCAUUGGAGACCCUCGGACUAUCUUUAAUUGGACUUUACUAGACUUUAUCUUGCAGUAAACGUUAUUCCCUUUAUCCUGUGUUGCUGUACACUGUGGACGGCUUGAUUGUAAUCAUGUACGGUCUUUUCGCUGACUGGAUAGCACGCAACAAAAAAGCUUUUCACUGUACCUUGGUAUACGUAACAGUAAUAAACUAAACUAAACUAAAUGAAAAUAGUCACAACUCACUCAGUUACCCCAUUCGGUAAGUCUGAUCCCUGUUAGGUGCCGAACCCUUCAAGGUCAUUCGAAGAAACCUCAAUUGCUCGAUAUUACUUGACACACGUUCCAUGUGCAUUCUACUGACCCCUUUAAGGUUGUUUUUUUUGUUUUUAAUUUAAUUUUUACUCCUCUUCAUUGUAACUCUGUGAGAACUCACAUUCAAACCUCUCUCAUAUCAAACUGGCUGAGAUCAAGGCCAGGACAAACUUGAAUCUAUCUCUCUGUAUGGUUAACAGAAUUAACGAGUUCUUCCUUACCAUUGUAAACUCAUUGUAACAUUAGAAGUGUUCAGCUACAGUGAGGGUGUGUCGGGGCGGGUGGAUUAAGUGCUUGAGGGACUGUAUACCUCUGUUUAUGGCUUGCGAUCCUUUUGUUUUUAUUCUUUUGACUAUAUACUGGACAACUGUGACUGUACUUUAACAUUGUGAAAACCAAUCUAUAACUCAACAUGAUUCACACCCAGCAGAGCACUGCAGACGAAACCGGCAGUUGUUGCUACUGGGUUUGUUCAUUUUAAUGCUUGAAUGUGGAGAUAUUUGUAAAAUCACAAUUGGACUUUUCAGCUGGUGAACCAUCCUUCCAAUGUCCCAACCCUGUGUCCCCUUCCCCACUGCGCUUCCUGAACAGUUACAUUUGUUUGCGUGAUUGAAAUGUUGCUGGCUUUGUAAGGAACUGGGUGUCACGGGGGUGAAUUCUCGGAACAGCGGGAGAGGGUUGGUGGCAACCUGGGAGUGAGUGAAUAUAGCACCCAGCGUUUAUUGUGUCUGAGGUCCCAAUCCCAGGUCAGCCCAUGGUGACCAGGCUUCAAGUUUACAAAUACUCUGUCAGGGGUGACUUUCCAAGACUAGUUGAUGUGAAGAGGAACAUUGAACAUCUUUAGUGGCAGAUGUAGUGGCCAUUUGCAUCUCCCACCCCAACGCCUCCCAUAGAUGCCAUCGAUGGUGGGACGGUCAGUUCCUGUGAUGUACCUGGUAGCAUCUACCACACUGUACCAUCUCCUCCAUUCCAACUCUGAUUGAUUGAUUGAAAGAUGGAGCAUGGGAAUAGGCCUUUUGGCCUACCGAGUCCUCGCCGACCAUCAGUGACUCAUUCACAGUUUACUCAAACGCUCCCUACAAACCAGGGGCAAAUCACAGAGGCAAGUUAACCUACAAACCUGUACGUCUUUGGAAUGUGGGAGGAAACCGGAGCACCCAGAGGAAACCCAUGCGGUCACAGGGAGAACGUGUAAACUUCGCAUGCCGACAGCACCCAAGGGCAGGAUCAAAACCGGGUCUAUGGCGCUAUGAGGCAGCAGCUCCGCUAACCGACACAACUACAGCCCCCUCCCUUCCUCUGCUGCCCAUCCCCCAGAGCUCUCAUAGAUACAGAGACUCUCACAACUUUCUGCUGAGUAGGCAAUCAAUGGGAGCUUUAAGCUAUAUUUAAAGAAUACUUUAGCAUUGCCCUCCCCUCCCGCAUGUAAAGAAUGCUAUCAAUGAUGCCCUUGCACACAAGUUGAUUUGUUGGCCUCUGCAGUCAUUCAAUGUUAUCAGUCAGUCCCUUCCUCUGGGCCAAGUCGACAGGAGCAAUCCUUUUUGAAGCUGAGAGCCACAACACUUGCAAACAAAUCUAACUCUUUAUUGAAUGGGAGGCAGCACAUCAGCUUAAAGGUCUCAGCUGUGGUUCGUGACUUCUGUCUGCCACAAAAUUGUGUGUUUAUUAAUUAUUAUUUGUUGCAAACUCUUAUUUGCCUGGCGCUUUAAUACAACGAAAACUUGAGUCAAACCAAAGCUUGAUCGAUGGGACACUUGCUUGUUAUAACGUUACUCUUUGUUUUACAGCAUCUGUUUGACUUCUUUUUUAUUGAUCACAGCUGUUUACUGGAAGAUACCUCUGUACUACUGCCUCCACCUCCUCACAGUUCAGUAUUGGUGGUAUUGAUGUGGGAGAGCCCGGGAGGUGCUACCAACCAGGGCUCCAUCUUUGUUGUAGUCCAUGCUCUCACUCAGUUUGUAUGGUUACUGCCUCUGCCUUUCAUCUACACUCGCCCAUGCUCCUGGAAACAAAACAUUGCCAUUCCCUUCUCCCUUCCUGCUACCCUUUCGAAAAAACCUAGGCGUUUUUUUUGAUGGGCUGAAUGGCCACAACACUUGCCAAAAUGAUUCUCUAUUGAGGCAUGGUCUCAGCUAAUCCUUUUCCCUUGCGGGACUUCUCGAUUGCAAUUGGGAUUGGAGCCAUGGCAUGACAUCUUAUGAGCUUAGGUCAGUGAAACCAGCUUGGGAAGGGCAUCUUGUUACCUUUGGUACAUGUCAUCGCUUCCAGUUGAUUAUAUCAUUACUUCCAGUUGACGAUGUCAUCACUUCCAGUUGGUGACAUCAUCACUUCCAGCUGGCUACAUCAUCACUUCCAAUUGAUUAUAUCAUCACUUCCAGUUGAUGAUGUCAUCACUUCCAUUUGAUUAUAUCAUGACUUUCAGUUGAUGAUGUCAUCAUUUCUUGUUGAUGAUGUCAUCACUUUCAGUUGCCAUUUAGGCCUUGCUGAACACAUUAAAUUGGAUGAGCUGAUUCAUUCUGGUCAAAGUCACAUUGGUAGAUUACACUGAAAGUUAACUAAUUGGUAUUCCCAUCUUGUAUCCCGAAUGAACAGAGCAAUCCAGAGCUGAUUAAUGGGACAGGCAUGGCUUUGAAAACCACUCGCCAAGGAAAUGGAGCCUAUUUAAAGCAAAUGAGAACUAGGUUUCACUCCACUCCCUAACCCAUUGAGGCAUUCAUGGCCUAGUCUAGAUAAGGCACAGGCGUAAUCAUUCUCAUUUAUAUGUCAAGAUGGCAAGCUGUCGUUCCAUGAAAACCCACAUGAGACGGGUGUGAGGUUGGGUGGGGGAGCACAGGGCGUGGGCCAAAGGUUGGUUUGAACCCAGGUGGGGUUCUGCACCAAUCAAAGGUCUUUCCCACUGAGCAGCCAUUGAUCAUUUUGUUCCCAAACUGCGAGGUGGGUCUCCUUGGCACGGUCACCAACCAACCAACCAACUAACUCUGGGUCUUACACACCAAUCCAUCUCGCUAGCUGCACUGCCAGAAUCAAGGCCUCUAUGUGGUCUGGAGAGCCCUGUCCCCACUCCCCACCCACACCCAUCCCAUCCUCACCCAGGGGACGGAGAUCCACUCCCUCUGCGUUAUGACGGGCACUGCCCGUCGCACUUUCAGUCGCCCCUGCUGGUUUUAAUGCGUGACUGGGAAACUGGAAGCAACAGCUUGUCAUUUUUUUUUCUUAGUUUAGCCUCCGCUUCCUGGAGCUAUGUUUGAGUUCUGGUGCAGGUGUGCGGGGGCCGGAUGGUAACCACAGGCGGUUGGCUGGUUCAAUCGAGACGCUAACUGCUUUAAGAUCGCGGGUAGUGCAGAGGAUGGAAACCUUUUUCACUGGGCGACCUGACCUUGCAACCGGUUGUAUGCCAUUCUCCGUGAUUUUGUUUAAAAGGGCAAUGCUAGACCAGGCUGUGGGGACAUUACAUUUGUUCUGAUUCACCUGAUUGAAAAACACAGGGUGCGUUUGACACUUUAAGACCAACGAGGGGAUGAGUGGUGAGAAAUUUGUCUUCAAUUGCCAGCAUUAAACACGAGCUGUCUGAGAUGUGUACGCUCCAGUUUAUGUCGGUAGUGACUGCAAACUAAUUUCUCCCCCUGCUAGUUCCUCUCUGCCAGGUUUUCCCGAAGGGAAUGUCCAAAUUUCCUCACGACAGAAGGAGGCCCCUUCGGCCCAUCGAGUCAUUCCUUAUUUGGUUUCCAUGUUCUCUCCUCAUUUCCAUCAACUCCCCACUGAUUCUACCACUUGCCAAGGCACUACGUUCUCCCUGAUGUAAAGUUAUCAUAGGCUAUGAGCAAUGGUUCUCUCCCUCUCCCUCCUACCCUCCCCCACCCUCUCUUCCAUUGGCAUGCCCACAUCUCCCCGCGAUCAUCACUCCUUGUUUAACACCUUCUCUCUUGCUGUGUUAUUUUAACACCUCCUCUCGCUGUUGUCGUCGGAGGAGUGAGGUAAAACUGAUUGCCCAACGCCUUGGUCCAUAGGAACAGGCAUUGACUUUGAGAGGAAACAACAAGGCUGUUGGACCGAGGUACAGUGUACAGGGACAUUGGGGGAGAGGCCAUCACUUAGCAGGAAACUUUCAAGGGGCAACAGGGCUGGGAUCAACCGAUGAGAUCUGUCGAGCUGGGAUCAGGAUGAUGAAGCUAGAGUGCAAAACCAUAAGACAUAGGAGCAGAAUUAGGCCAUUCGGUCCAUCCAGUCUACUCCACCAUUCGCUCAUGGUUGAUCUAUUUUUCCCUCUCAACCCCAUUCUCCUCGUAACCUUUGACGCCCUUACAAAUGAAGAAUCUAUCAAACUCUGCUUUAAAUAUACCCAAUGUCUUUGUCUCCACAGCCGUCUGCGGCAACGAAUUCCACAGAUUCCCCACUCUCUGGAUAAAGAUAUUUAUCUUCAUCUCCUUUCUAAAGGUACAUCCUUUUAUUCUGAGGCUGUGCCCUCUGGUCCUAGACCCUCCCACUACUGGAGACAUCCUCCAUCUAGACCUUUCGUAUAUCUAGACGGCAGCAUCUGCAGUUCCUUGUUUCUACGUCCUCUGGCAAUUUGUUCCAUAUACCCACCGCCCUCUCUGUGGAAUAAAGUUGACCCUCAGGUUCCUAUUAAAUCUUUCCCCUCUCACCUAAAACCUAUGACUCCCCUAACCUGGGUACAAGCUGAUGACAAUGGAAGAGACAAAAUGAGAGAUGGAAACUGGUAGAACUUGUGAGUGCAUGCAGGAGGGACUUGCAUUUGAUCUGAAAAAAAUAAUUGGCCUGAAAGCAAAGAUGGACACAAAAUGCUGCCCGACCUGCUGAGUUACUCCAGCACAUUGUGGCUAUCAUUGGUAUAAACCAGCAUCUGCAGUUCCUUCUUAUUACAUUUUGGUCUGAAAACAAAUUUUGCAUUCCCCAAAACCAAAGGGCCGGGGGAAAACCUGGCAAGAGAAAUGAAACGCACCUCCUCAAAACUUGAUGUCAAGGCCAUUUUCAGUCAACCUCUCCAGAACAGGCACGGACUUGAAGUCCCUACAGACCUGGUUCGAGCUGUGUCUCCUGCUCUCCUGUGAACACGGCCUCCCUCGCUAACGCUGUGCGCAGGAUCUGUUUACUACCUCUGAGGUGAUGCUUUUGUUUUUAUUAAAAAUGUUGCCAGUCCUCGAAUUACCUCAGCAACCACAAAGUGUCGCAAUAAAACAAUGAAUUAAUUACGAAAUGCACUGAAUGAGAUGGAACAACAUGAGAAUUGAGAUAUAUAUUUUGGGAGAUAAUUUUGUAUGUCUGUUCCUCUACAGUGUAUGAUUUUAAAGUGAAGUUUUUUAAGCCUUUUUUCUGAUUUUUAUCUUUAUAUCAUCUUUAAUAAAACUAUAUUUCUUUGU